rnacentral:rRNA from 1 species
UGGAUCGCCCUUAGAGUUUGAUCCUGGCUCAGGAUGAACGCUGGCGGCGUGCCUAACACAUGCAAGUCGAGCGUGAACCCUUAGAAUGAAACUUCGGUCGAAUGACGAGGGGGAAAGCGGCGGACGGGUGAGUAACGCGUAGGCAACCUGCCCCGUACAGAGGGAUAGCCUCGGGAAACCGGGAUUAAAACCUCAUAAUACCAUGGUAUCACAUGAUGCAAUGGUCAAAGAUUUAUCGGUAUGGGAUGGGCCUGCGUCUGAUUAGCUGGUUGGUGGGGUAACGGCCUACCAAGGCAACGAUCAGUAGCCGACCUGAGAGGGUAAUCGGCCACAUUGGAACUGAGACACGGUCCAAACUCCUACGGGAGGCAGCAGUGGGGAAUAUUGCACAAUGGGCGAAAGCCUGAUGCAGCAACGCCGCGUGAGCGAAGAAGGCCUUUGGGUCGUAAAGCUCUGUCGGGAAGGAAGAUAAUGACGGUACUUCCCGAGGAAGCCCCGGCUAACUACGUGCCAGCAGCCGCGGUAAUACGUAGGGGGCGAGCGUUAUCCGGAAUUAUUGGGCGUAAAGAGUGCGUAGGUGGUUGUUUAAGCGUGGGGUGAAAGGCAAUGGCUUAACCUUUGUGAGCCUCGCGAACUUGGGCGACUUGAGUGCAGGAGAGGAAAUGCGGAAUUCUUAGUGUAGCGGUGAAAUUGCGUAUAUAUUAGGAGGAACACCAUUGGCGAAGGCUGCUUUCUGGACUGUAACUGACACUGAGGUACGAAAGCUUGGGGAGCAACCUGGUUUAAUCACCUGGUAUCCA